rnacentral:lncRNA from 1 species
ACGACAAGUCUAACAGCCAUCCAAACCAACUCCAGCGGCAGUAUUAAAAGUUCAUUAAUCAUUACAAGUUCAUAAUCCACAAAUCAAUCACAAUAAAGCCAAAAGGAGGGGCAUCAUUCAACAAUUGUUCCUUGACGCGUCGCUUAUUGGCAGCAAAAACUUCAGCCCUCAAUUUGUCCACGCCCACGUGUGCACGCUGCUUCAGAUCAGAGGACCCAACGAUGAUAGCAGCUUGCAAGGCUCCGGCACAGGCAGAGGAAGAGCCAGUUUAGCAGGGCUUCGGCUUCGGCUCCUACCGCGGCUUCUGCCGGAGCCCUACCCGAGAGAGCGGCGGCGACGGUGGGUUGGAAAGAGGAGCAAUGUCUGGAGAGCGGAUGGAGGCAGUGCAGCGUCGAUGAAGCAGAACCAAAGCGGUGUUGCCUCCCCCCCCCCCACCCCGUUCCAUCCAUGGCUGGUGCAAGCAUGGUCCGAUAACCUGGCCACAACCGGCAGCAACAUGUCCCUUCACGUCUGGGUGGGUGGUAGCAACAACAGAGCAGCAGUAGCAGCUCCUGCCUGGGGGCAGCGGUGGAGCGUAGGGUAGCAACAGUAGCGCACGGCGAGAGAGUGGCGGUGGGGAACAGAGCGGGCAGUGGCGUGCCUGGACUGGCUGCGUGAAGA